ensembl:misc_RNA 7SK 7SK RNA
GAAUGUGAGGGUAGUCCGGUGGGACAUCUGUCACUCCAUUGAUUACCAGCUGAAUUGGCUGGCUAGGCUGGUGUCCCAUGCUUCCCUCACCAUUCUUUGUGCAUCCCUCCCAAAGCUACACACUAGGUUGAAGAGGACAAUCACACCAGAUAGAGAAGGACUGGGUCAGGGAUAUAUAACCCUUCUGCACACCCCUGCUAAAACCUCCAAAUAAGCUCUCAAAAGGAGUACAUGAACCUAUGCCUAAAUUAAUGAAAAUUUAGAACUUCCUUU